UAGAUCAUUAUUUUUAAUGUUAGUGGUUUAAAAUGCGCUUUUCUAACCUGCAAAGUUAAAACGAAGCUUUUAUUUUGAUAGUUUUCAAAAGGAUCUUUUGCAUAUUCUUGAGGACUUGAUGCUAUAGGAACAAAAACAGGUUCACAUCGCUUUAGAAAACUCAAACUAAGUUAAAAGUUCAAACAUUACCUGCCACCAGAGAACUCCAGCUGCAUUCACAAAACUGAAGAAAGUGUUUUAGAGACUUUUUUUUUUUUUAAAGUUCUGGUUAAUUGUUAACUUGUCAGGUGUGCAAACUUACCUUCCUGCCCUGCGCUGUCACCCUGUGUGAUUCAGCCAUUUUCAUCUGCAGGAAGCAAACAGCAGAGCAAUAAGCUGCAGCUCCAGUUUGACUGGCUGUGACGUCGCUUAGGUCUGAAUCAACACUGACGGAAAGCUUGAACCUGCCUGAUUUGACCCUCCAGCUCACACAGCGCAGCUCUGGUGAUCAGCUGCCCCCACAUGCCUUUCUCUGCCAGUUACAGCUGGGAGGAAGGACCUGCGAUUACGCUCCUUUGUGCACCAACGAUGCAGCAGUCUGACACUAAUUCUUGGGAUAAGAAUCAAUGUAACGUCUAUAGUGGAAGAAUGGGAGGAAGCCAGAGGUCUGCUGGCUGAAGGAAAGGGCCGAGCCUCUGGGAGAGGAAACACAUACUCACUGUGGAGCGUAGGCCAUGCAGAGGGUCGCCAGGUAGCCGUUGGAGAAGGAGAACAGAGCCAUGAUGACAACAAAGGCGCUG